UCCCUUUGUAUCCAUCUAUCCAAUUAACAGCUAAAAUGGCUCUCUCCUCACUUUCUUUGAUGUUUCUUCUUGAAUUUUCUUUCAUGUCAUUCUUCGCCCAUUCUGGUUUAGCUCGUGAUUUCUCAAUUGUGGGCUAUACCCCUGAAGACUUGACGUCCGGGGAUAAGAUCAUCGAUCUCUUUGAGUCAUGGAUAUCAAAACAUGGGAAGAUUUAUGAGAGCAUAGAAGAAAAAUGGCUCAGGUUUGAGAUUUUCAAAGAUAACUUGUUCCACAUUGAUGAGACCAAUAAGAAGGUCGUUAACUACUGGCUUGGAUUGAAUGAGUUUUCCGAUUUGAGCCAUGAAGAGUUCAAAAACAAGUAUCUUGGCUUGAAGGUUGACAUGUCUGAAAGAAGAGAAUUUUCUCAGGAGUUCAAUUACAAGGAUGUCAUGAGCAUCCCAAAGUCAGUGGAUUGGAGAAAGAAAGGAGCUGUUACUGAUGUCAAGAACCAGGGGUCAUGCGGUAGCUGCUGGGCCUUUUCAACAGUAGCAGCAGUAGAAGGUAUAAAUCAGAUUGUUACAGGAAAUUUGACAUCCCUGUCCGAGCAAGAGUUGGUCGAUUGUGACACCACUAACAACUAUGGGUGCAAUGGAGGACUUAUGGAUUAUGCAUUUUCUUACAUAAUCUCCAAUGGUGGACUCCACAAGGAGGUAGAUUACCCAUAUAUCAUGGAAGAGGGCACCUGUGAGAUGAGAAAGGAAGAAUCAGAGGUAGUGACCAUUAGUGGAUACCAUGAUGUGCCACAAAACAGUGAAGAAAGCCUGUUGAAGGCACUUGCCAACCAGCCCCUCAGUGUGGCCAUUGAGGCUUCUGGCAGAGACUUCCAGUUUUACAGCGGGGGUGUUUUUGAUGGUCAUUGUGGAACUCAGCUAGAUCAUGGAGUGGCAGCCGUUGGGUAUGGAUCAACCAAUGGCUUGGAUUACAUUAUCGUUAAGAACUCUUGGGGAUCUAAAUGGGGAGAAAAGGGUUACAUAAGGAUGAAGAGAAACACUGGCAAGCCUGCAGGGCUUUGUGGUAUCAACAAAAUGGCAUCUUAUCCCACUAAAAAGAAGUAACAUGCUAAAUGGUCUCUGCUCUUGUCUUCCUCUUUCAAUUCCCAUUUCUGGAAUCUGGAUCUCAUCGGAUGAUGUCUUGUAGUAAAUUGAUAUUCUAAAUGUUUAAUCACUCAAGUUGUUGUUGUCUUUUUCACA